CGGCCCGGAGCGAAGGUCUCGCGAGGCUUGGGCGCUGCGGCGGUAGGAGGAGGACGGGGAAGGACGGAGCCGAGCAGAGGCGGCCUCCCUCGCUCACUCCCUCGCGCGCUCGCCCGCCCCCUCCCUCCCUCCCCUCCCUCCCCCGGCCCCGGCUCCGGCCCCGGCCCAUUCGCUGUCGGGUCUUCUGCUAGGGAGGAUGUCGGGCUCGUCGCUCCCCAGCGCGCUGGCCCUCUCGCUGCUGCUGGUCUCUGGCUCCCUCCUCCCAGGGCCAGGCGCCGCUCAGAACGCUGGGUUUGUCAAGUCGCCCAUGUCAGAAACUAAGCUCACGGGGGACGCCUUUGAGCUGUACUGUGACGUGGUCGGGAGCCCCACGCCAGAGAUCCAGUGGUGGUACGCAGAAGUCAACCGGGCAGAGUCUUUCAGACAGCUGUGGGACGGUGCUCGGAAGCGCCGUGUCACCGUAAACACCGCCUACGGGUCAAACGGCGUGAGUGUGCUGAGAAUAACCCGGCUCACCUUGGAGGACUCUGGGACUUACGAGUGCAGGGCCAGCAACGACCCCAAGAGGAAUGACUUGAGGCAAAACCCCUCCAUAACAUGGAUUCGAGCCCAGGCCACCAUAAGCGUCCUUCAGAAGCCAAGGAUUGUCACCAGUGAAGAGAUCAUUAUUCGAGAUAGUCCUCCUGCUUUCCCCGUCACCCUGCAGUGUAACCUCACCUCCAGCUCUCACACCCUUACAUACAGCUACUGGACAAAGAAUGGGGUGGAACUGACUGCCACUCGUAAGAAUGCCAGCAACAUGGAAUACAGGAUCAGUAAGCCGAGAGCUGAGGAUUCAGGCGAAUACCACUGUGUAUAUCACUUUGUCAGCGCUCCUAAAGCAAAUGCCACCAUCGAAGUGAAAGCUGCUCCUGACAUCACUGGCCAUAAACGGAGUGAGAACAAGAAUGAAGGGCAGGAUGCCACGAUGUACUGCAAGUCAGUUGGUUACCCUCACCCAGAGUGGAUAUGGCGCAAGAAGGAGAACGGUAUGCCCAUGGAGCUUGUCAAUACUUCUGGCCGCUUCAUCAUCAUCAAUAAGGAAAAUUACACCGAGUUGAGCAUUAUGAACCUUCAAAUCACAGAAGACCCUGGCGAGUAUGAAUGUAAUGCUACCAACUCUAUUGGUUCUGCCUCCGUUGUCACCAUCCUCAGGGUACGGAGCCACCUGGCCCCACUCUGGCCUUUCUUGGGAAUUCUGGCUGAAAUUAUCAUCCUUGUGGUGAUCAUUGUUGUGUAUGAGAAGAGGAAGAGGCCAGAUGAGGUUCCUGACGCUCCUAAAUCUCUUUGGCUGCAAUAAAUAGAGUGAGUAUUAGGGUGGGUGAGGUUGGUGAAGAGGUUUUUUGUUGAUACUGUCGACACCUGCGGGAAGGCCUGGUGAGCUCCCCUCCAAAUGUACACUGAGCAGUGAAGUGGAUGGAGGAGCGUGAUGGGCCUUUGUAAGAGUGGUCUUGUUCCCUGCAGCAUGGAGUAUCCCCAGGAGUUUUACUUUCCUACUCUGUGAAGUGAACUUGCUUUCCCGGGAUUGUCAUGUAUCCCUAAUGCUUUUUUUCUCCAGACUUUUCUUUCCUGCUACUUACUAGGACUCCCAAGGCAGAGUACACCUAUAUUAGACUUGGGAGUAAAGGGAGAGAGGUGCCUGCCUUUCGUGUGUUUUCAAUUCUGGCUCUUUGGGAGCAGUAAUGCCUCAUUCCUGAAAGGGACCUUUCCAUCCCCUCAGAAUGCUUUGCCACAUACCACCUUCCUCAGCCCAUCCUUUGGAAAGGUUGAGAGGCAAAAAGUCAGGUAAGAGAAGGCUUCAGAGCCUGAUACUUGAAUUUUAAGACAGACUGGCUGCCGCUUUCAUGACAGAGUGACACAUUGGCCUAGUAUGUCCCUGUCAGAGGUCCUUAGGUCUUUAUCCUAAGAAGCCACUACAUUUAUGAAGUUGGAAUUGCAGUGUAUGUGGCAGGCCUUCCGCUUAGAUUUGAGAAAUGGUUAGUAUUGUUCUGUCAGGAAAGUGCAGACACCCGCCUAGGGAAGCAGCUAUCUUUUUAAAAGAGUCUCUUGCUUAUUGAACUCAAAUUGGGGACCAGUUUUUAUAGGAGACAUCUGUGGCCAGCAAGUCUUCUGAACAGCUUCCUGGAGGGAAAAUACUUCUUUUAAGCUAAGUUAUUAUAUAGACAGUGAACGAAUCCCACAUAAGAGAUGACUGCAGGGUAAGUGCAAAGUAAAACCUCCUUGCUCUAGUCUCUUGGGAGAAUACUGUAAUGCAAGCAGCUUUUACUUCUUUGUUGCUGAAUUGGGGUGAAAAGUGUGGGGUGCUGGAAUGAUUGCAAUGUUUGCCUUCUCUCCUUCCCUUCGUGACAGCCAGUGUGGGCCAGGCUCCAUUCUCCACCCCACCCCUGCCCUGCUCCAACAUCCCCAUUCCAUGCUUGUUUCCUUUGUCUCUCCACCUUUCUCCCAGAGUCCUCCCUGCUCCCACCUCCUCCCCCGUUUACCCCACCUCUCCAGGAAGUAAUUGUUAAACAACAACAACAAAAGAUCAAUUGUUCUUCUAUGAGUUUUCUUUAUUUUGUGGCUUUUUCUUUAGCCACUCUCUCCUCAACUCUUAUGCAGUUCACAGCAAGGACAAACUCAUCUAUAUGCUUCCUUCCCAUUUGCUCCCCCCACAUUUACUUACAGUUACAUGCACACUGCUUUUUCAAAUAAAUGAAUUAUAUUUGAUACAAACUUUGGAGUUUUAGGGGUGAUAAAUUUUUACCUAUCAGAUAAUUAAUCAUCUGUGGCUCUGUGUUGGCUUAUUUAUGCCAUUAUGAAAAUGGGAACCUUUUUUAUGGGCCUAACAUGGUUUUUCUCUGCCAAAUAGGUACUUUAUUGUCAAGAUAUACCUACGGUUCAUUUCAGACUCACUGAACUGUUUUUAUACAAACUCAUAGUAUUCAUAUUUUGGGUAUUUUUGGUAAGUCAUGCCCUUAUUAGAAAAGCACUAAGGCAAACAAUACAAAAAUAUAAAAAUACGCAAAUUUGAAUUUUUAUAAUGUUUUUAAUUUGAGUGUGUUUCACUAGAAAAGCAAAUACCACUUUAGAGUUCUCACUGAAAACACUUAGAGUUGAGGUUUAACUGCUUCCUUUUUUUAAAAAAAAAGCCCCAUGUCUUUUUAUCUACUAGAAUAUACUCAGGCCAUUUUGUAAAUGAAAUCUCACACCUGUGUUUCUUUAAUCCCCUGUUAUGGUCUCUUUGAGGGUCAGUGCCCAGUAAGUUGUUGUAUGGGCGAAUUAUCUACAUAUCACCUUUUACCUUCAGUGUUUUCAGGAACAAGUGAAUCAUGGAGCCAGAUAAGAGCUUUGUUUUUCAUUUUAUUCACCACUUGACUGCAUUCCCUGAAAAUGUUAAUAAUUCUCUAAAAAGACUAGGUCAAGCUAGCAUCCUCUAGUCUUCCAUCCAUGUUACAGUUGGCACCUGCUGGGAUACACCUUCUGUGUUGGUUCGCUGCCCACUAUCCUCUGAGAGCUGCAGGGAGAUGGGAUGUGAACCUGCUUACUUGCUGGGGCCUUCAGUUCUAUGGGACAUUUUAUUGACCUCACAAACAUCAAAUUAAAACAGUAGCUGAUUGAAAAAAGAAGUGCUAGCAUCAAAAAGCACUUUCUAUUUUCAUAUUGGGAUAAUUUUUAUAAGCAAAUCAAAGGCACUCUAAGUUACUGGUGGAGAAAAUAUUUGAGGGUUUUGGGAGCCAUUUUUAGUGGCUCUGAUAUAGUUAGGCUCUUAGAUACUUUAGAACUAAGAGCUAUGCUAAUGUUCCAAAGCCUAUUAGUUUGUCAAAACAUUUGGUAGUAUAUACCCCUUACAGCAGGCCCAAGAUAUGGAAAAUGAAAUGUGACUUUUAAAAUUACAUCAAAAACACACAUUUAGUAUCUGUUAACUAGAGAUCAUCUGAGUCAGUAACAAGUUACCUUAGGGAGAAAAUGCAAUAGGACCAAAAAAAGGGAGGAAAUUGGAAGUAAUCGCUAAUCUCUCUUGGGUUUAAUGCUAAUCUGCAGAGAUCAGGCAAAAUUUAAGUGGAUUUAGAAACCAUAAAACCCCAUCCUCAGUGGGAUGAACACAGUGACAAAGGAGCUUUGACCAGAGAGUCAACUCUUUGUUAUUUUGACUUUAAAUCUAUCUUUUUGGAGGUGAUACCUGCAUUAGGCAAUCUGUUAUUUACUAGACAUCGCAGAGCACCCCUUCUAGAUGAUGAGGUGGAUAUAGACGGAGCGAGGGCUGUAGCGUAUAUGAUUGGGAAGACUGAACAUGCAGAUAAAUCUGUGUGUGCAAUAGCUCCACCAGAAACUUCACUCUCAUAAGGUGGAUUCCAGAAGCAUUUUGUUUCCAUUCUCCCGCCCAGUCCUCCUCCUCUCAUCUAGCCAGUGUCUAUAAUACCUAGGUGGAGAGAACAGUCAUUGUUUAAGCCAGCUAUCUUUUGGCUUGAGGGUUUGGGGGUAUGUUAAUAUUUGUCGGUUACUAUGACUUCUUUUUUUUCCCCCCUCAAUUGCAUCAAACCCUUAAAACAUGGUGAUGAUGAACCAGCUGGGCCAAUGAAAACCAACUCUACCAACAAUCACAAAGAUAAAAACUUGCGCCAGAGAAACACAAAUUAAGUACUGCUU